UACGAAGGGGGCUAGCGUUGCUCGGAAUUACUGGGCGUAAAGCGCACGUAGGCGGCUUUCUAAGUCGGGGGUGAAAUCCUGGAGCUCAACUCCAGAACUGCCUUCGAUACUGGAGAGCUCGAGUCCGGGAGAGGUGAGUGGAACUGCGAGUGUAGAGGUGAAAUUCGUAGAUAUUCGCAAGAACACCAGUGGCGAAGGCGGCUCACUGUCCCGGUACUGACGCUGAGGUGCGAAAGCGUGGGGAGCAAACAGG
rnacentral:rRNA from 1 species